CGGGGUGUAGCUCAGCCUGGAUAGAGCGCUUGGUUCGGGACCAAGAGGUCGCUGGUUCGAAUCCAGUCACCCCGA
rnacentral:tRNA from 1 species